GACGAACGCUGGCGGCGUGCUUAACACAUGCAAGUCGAACGGAAAGGCCCCCACCUUGGUGGGGGUGCUCGAGUGGCGAACGGGUGAGUAACACGUGGGUGAUCUGCCCUGUACUUCGGGAUAAGCUUGGGAAACUGGGUCUAAUACCGGAUAGGACCAUGGUUUAGUGUCUCAUGGUGGAAAAAUUAUUGUUUUGGUGCAGGAUGAGCUCGCGGCCUAUCAGCUUGUUGGUGGGGUAAUGGCCUACCAAGGCGUCGACGGGUAGCCGGCCUGAGAGGGUGGACGGCCACAUUGGGACUGAGAUACGGCCCAGACUCCUACGGGAGGCAGCAGUGGGGAAUAUUGCACAAUGGGUGCAAGCCUGAUGCAGCGACGCCGCGUGGGGGAUGACGGCCUUCGGGUUGUAAACUCCUUUCGUUAGGGACGAAGCCACACCUUUUUUGGGUGUGGUGACGGUACCUUUGUUAAGAAGCACCGGCUAACUACGUG
rnacentral:rRNA from 1 species